rnacentral:rRNA from 1 species
UACGAAGGGGGCUAGCGUUGCUCGGAAUCACUGGGCGUAAAGCGCACGUAGGCGGGUCUUUAAGUCGGGGGUGAAAUCCUGGAGCUCAACUCCAGAACUGCCUUUGAUACUGAAGAUCUUGAGUUCGGGAGAGGUGAGUGGAACUGCGAGUGUAGAGGUGAAAUUCGUAGAUAUUCGCAAGAACACCAGUGGCGAAGGCGGCUCACUGGCCCGAUACUGACGCUGAGGCACGAAAGCGUGGGGAGCAAACAGG